AUGGCUUCUCCGGCGGCCGGCGGCGGGGGUCGUCUAGCUGACCCAUUGCUGGCCACCGACGUCGUCGUCGGCCCCAAGGAUAAGUACUGGGUACCCGCCGACGAGAGAGAGAUCUUGGCGUCGCACAGGAGCGGCGCCGGCGGCGAUGACGGCCGGGCACCGCUGCUGUACCGCACGUUCAGGGUCAAGGGCCCCCUCAUCAACCUUUACAGGUUAUUGACUCUGGUCAGAGUGAUAGUGGUUAUUCUAUUCUUCACAUGGCGCAUGAGGCACCGGGACUCGGACGCGAUGUGGCUGUGGUGGAUCUCGGUGGUAGGCGACCUCUGGUUCGGAGUGACAUGGCUGCUCAACCAGAUCACCAAGCUCAGGCCCAGGAAAUGCGUCCCGAGCAUCUCCGUCCUGAGAGAGCAGCUCGACCAGCCCGACGGCGGCUCCGACCUCCCCCUCCUGGACGUGUUCAUCAACACCGUCGACCCGGUGGACGAGCCGAUGCUCUACACCAUGAACUCCAUCCUCUCCAUCCUGGCCACCGACUACCCGGUCGACAAGUACGCCACCUACUUCUCCGACGACGGCGGGUCGCUGGUGCACUACGAGGGGCUGCAGCUGGCGGCGGAGUUCGCCGCGUCGUGGGUGCCGUUCUGCCGGAAGCACUGCGUCGAGCCCCGGGCCCCGGAGAGCUAUUUCUGGGCCAAGAUGCGCGGGGAGUACGCGGGCACCGCGCCCAAGGAGUUCCUUGACGACCAUCGGCGGAUGCGGGCGGCGUACGAGGAGUUCAAGGUGAGGCUGGACGGGCUUUCUGCCGCCAUCGAGCAGCGGUCGGAGGCGUGCAACCGUGCGAACGGGAAAGAGGAGGGUGCAGAUGCUACUUGGAUGGCUGAUGGGUCCACGCAAUGGCAGGGGACGUGGAUCAAGCCGGCAAAGGGCCACCGGAAAGGACACCACCCUGCAAUUCUACAAGUUAUGCUGGAUCAACCGAGCAAGGAUCCUGAGCUGGGCAUGGCGGCGAGCUCCGGCCACCCUCUGGACUUGAGCGCCGUGGACGCGCGCCUCCCGAUGCUGGUCUACAUCGCGCGGGAGAAGCGGCCGGGGUACGACCACCAGAAGAAGGCGGGCGCCAUGAACGUGCAGCUGCGCGUCUCCGCGCUGCUCUCCAACGCGCCCUUCAUCAUCAACUUCGACGGCGACCACUACGUCAACAACUCGCAGGCCUUCCGCGCCGCCAUGUGCUUCAUGCUCGACCCGCGCGACGGCGCCGACACCGCCUUCGUCCAGUUCCCGCAGCGCUUCGACGACGUCGACCCCACCGACCGCUACUGCAACCACAACCGCAUGUUCUUCGACGCCACCCUCCUCGGCCUCAACGGCAUCCAGGGCCCCUCCUUCGUCGGCACCGGCUGCAUGUUCCGCCGCGUCGCGCUCUACUCCGCCGACCCUCCUCGCUGGCGCCCCGACGACGCCAAGGAGGCCAAGGCCUCGCGCUACAGGCCCAACAUGUUCGGCAAAUCCACGUCCUUCAUCAACUCGGUGCCGGCGGCCGCCAACCAAGAGCGGUCCGUCCCUUCACCGGCGACCGUCGGCGAGGCGGAGCUCGCCGACGCCAUGACGUGCGCCUACGAGGACGGCACCGAGUGGGGCAACGACGUCGGGUGGGUGUACAACAUCGCGACGGAGGACGUGGUGACCGGCUUCCGGCUGCACCGCACGGGGUGGCGCUCCACGUACUGCGCCAUGGAGCCCGACGCGUUCCGCGGCACGGCGCCCAUCAACCUCACGGAGCGGCUCUACCAGAUCCUGCGCUGGUCGGGGGGAUCCCUCGAGAUGUUCUUCUCCCGCUUCUGCCCGCUCCUCGCCGGCCGCCGCCUCCACCCCAUGCAGCGCAUCGCCUACAUCAACAUGACCACCUACCCCGUCUCCACCUUCUUCAUCUGCAUGUAUUACUUCUACCCGGUGAUGUGGCUCUUCCAGGGGGAGUUCUACAUCCAGAGGCCGUUCCAGACGUUCGCGCUCUUCGUCGUCAUCGUCAUCGCCACGGUGGAGCUCAUCGGCAUGGUGGAGAUCAGGUGGGCCGGCCUCACGCCGCUCGACUGGUUCCGCAACGAGCAGUUCUACAUCAUCGGCACCACCGGCGUGUACCCUAUGGCGAUGCUGCACAUCAUCCUCAGGUCCCUCGGCAUCAAGGGGGUGUCCUUCAAGCUGACGGCCAAGAAGCUCACGAGCGGCACGAGGGAGAGGCUCGCGGAGCUCUACGACGUGCAGUGGGUGCCGUUGCUGGUGCCCACGGUGGUGGUGAUGGCCGUGAACGUGGCCGCCAUCGGCGCGGCGGCGGGCAAGGCGAUCGCUGGGCGGUGGUCGGCCGCGCAGGUCGCCGGGGCGGCCAGCGGGCUCGUCUUCAACGUGUGGAUGCUGCUGCUGCUCUACCCGUUCGCGCUCGGGAUAAUGGGGCGCUGGAGCAAGAGGCCAUACAUCCUGUUCAUUGUGCUGGUCACCGCGGUCGCUGCCACCGCGUCCGUGUACGUCGCGCUCGCCGGCUCCCUACCGUACUUGCAUUCGGGAAUAAAGCUAGUUUAA
rnacentral:rRNA from 1 species